UACGCAGGGGGCGAGCGUUGUUCGGAUUUACUGGGCGUAAAGGGCGCGCAGGCGGUCUUGUUUGUCGAGUGUGAAAGCCCCGGGCUCAACCUGGGAACGGCGCUCGAAACGGCGGGACUAGAGAUCGGGAGAGGAGCGUGGAAUUCCCAGUGUAGAGGUGAAAUUCGUAGAUAUUGGGAAGAACACCGGUGGCGAAGGCGGCGCUCUGGACCGAGACUGACGCUGAGGCACGAAAGCGUGGGGGAGCAAACAGG
rnacentral:rRNA from 1 species